rnacentral:rRNA from 1 species
CCUACGGGAGGCAGCAGUGAGGAAUAUUGGUCAAUGGACGAGAGUCUGAACCAGCCAAGUCGCGUGAAGGAUGACUGCCCUAUGGGUUGUAAACUUCUUUUAUAUGGGACUAAAAUGUUCCACGUGUGGGAUUUUGUAUGUACCAUAUGAAUAAGGUUCGGUGAACUCGUUGCCAGCAGCCGCGGUAAUACGGAGUAGCCGAGCGUUAUCCGGAUUUAUUGGGUUUAAGGGGAGCGAAGGUGGAUGGUUAAGUCGGUUGUGAAAGUUUGCGGCUCAACCGUAAAAGUGCAGUUGAAACUGGCAGUCUUGAGUACAGUAGAGGUGGGCGGAAUUCGUGGUGUAGCGGUGAAAUGCUUAGAUAUCACGAAGAACUCCGAUUGCGAAGGCAGCUCACUGGACUGCAACUGACACUGAGGCUCGAAAGUGUGGGUAUCAAACAGGAUUAGAUACCCCGGUAGUC